CAAGCAGAGCGGGCAGUCGCCGCGGUGAUUUCACCGUGGAGGAAAGUCCGAGCUCCGUCGGACAGGGCGCCGGGUAACACCCGGGAGGGGCGACCCUACGGAAAGUGCAACAGAAACAUACCGCCAGCGGUCCCGGUGACGGGAUGCGGGCAAGGGUGAAAUGGUGAGGCAAGAGCUCACCGGCGGGCGGGAGACCGUCCGGCCGGGCAAACCCCGCCUGGAGCAAGGCCGAAUAGGGGAACGUGAGGCGUGUGUCCGCGCUGUUCCCGGGUUGGCCGCUAGAGCCGGUCGGUAACGGCCGGCCCAGAUAGAUGACUGCCGCCCUCCGCAAGGAGGGUACAGAACUCGGCUUACAGCUCUGCUUGGCAA
rnacentral:RNase_P_RNA from 2 species